UUCUUAAUAGUAUAAAUUAAAAUACUAUAUUUUUUCAUAAUAUAAAUAUGCAUACCAAAAAACAUUUAAGAUU
rnacentral:tRNA from 1 species